UGUCCAAGAAAGAGACGGUUGACCUCGAAGAGCUUGCUCUCGAGUGAUCAGUGGCGAAUUCCAAAAGUAACACGUGAGUAACCUGCCCCAGACUCUGGAAUAUCCCCGGGAAACCGGAGCUAAUACCGGAUACGAGACGGAGUCGCAUGACUACCGUCUGGAAAGUUUUUCGGUCUGGGAUGGACUCGCGGCCUAUCAGCUUGUUGGUGAGGUAACGGCUCACCAAGGCGACGACGGGUAGCCGGCCUGAGAGGGCGACCGGCCACACUGGGACUGAGACACGGCCCAGACUCCUACGGGAGGCAGCAGUGGGGAAUAUUGCACAAUGGGCGAAAGCCUGAUGCAGCGACGCCGCGUGAGCGAUGAAGGCCUUCGGGUCGUAAAGCUCUGUUGUUAAGGAAGAACAAGUACGAGAGUAACUGCUCGUACCUUGACGGUACUUAACGAGAAAGCCACGGCUAACUACGUGCCAGCAGCCGC
rnacentral:rRNA from 1 species